AACAUCCUCAUCAAUUGGAAGGAAUUCCUUCCGAUUGAUGAGGUUGUUACCCUCAUUGACUUCCAAUCAAUGAGAUUUAUAACAAUCUCAUCGAUUAGAAGGAAUUCCUUCCGGUCGAUGAGGUUGUU
rnacentral:miRNA from 1 species